GACGAACGCUGGCGGCGUGCUUAACACAUGCAAGUCGAACGAAGAGCGAUGGAAGCUUGCUUCUAUCAAUCUUAGUGGCGAACGGGUGAGUAACGCGUAAUCAACCUGCCCUUCAGAGGGGGACAACAGUUGGAAACGACUGCUAAUACCGCAUACGAUCUAAUCUCGGCAUCGAGGAAAGAUGAAAGGUGGCCUCUAUUUAUAAGCUAUCACUGCAGGAGGGGAUUGCGUCUGAUUAGCUAGUUGGAGGGGUAACGGCCCACCAAGGCGAUGAUCAGUAGCCGGUCUGAGAGGAUGAACGGCCACAUUGGGACUGAGACACGGCCCAGACUCCUACGGGAGGCAGCAGUGGGGAAUCUUCCGCAAUGGACGAAAGUCUGACGGAGCAACGCCGCGUGAGUGAUGACGGCCUUCGGGUUGUAAAGCUCUGUUAAUCGGGACGAAAGGCCUUCUUGCGAACAGUUAGAAGGAUUGACGGUACCGGAAUAGAAAGCCACGGCUAACUACGUG
rnacentral:rRNA from 1 species